GCCGGUGUGGCUCAGUGGUUGGGCACCCACCCAGGAGCCAGGAGGUCCCGGGUUCGAUUCCCGGUCAAGGGCA
rnacentral:tRNA from 1 species